GAUGUACUCCCUCCGUUCGGAAUUACUUGUCUCGGAAAUGGAUGUAUCUAGAACUAAAAUAUAUCUACAUACAUUCAUUUUCCGACAAGUAAUUCCGAACGGAGGGAGUAGAUC
rnacentral:pre_miRNA from 1 species